CUGCGGCCAACAGUGGCCGCUCCGCGCCGGUGAAACCAUGAGGGCUCUGCUGCUGUGCACCGUGAUGGCCGCCAGCGUCGGCGGCAGCUUGGCCGCCAGAAGGGCUGCGGCCGUCCCCAGACGCAUCCAACGAAGGGUCGACUCCCCAUUCACUGGUGACCUGCACCAAAGCUUCGAGGAGUACCUGGAAUCGAAGGGUGUCGGCUUCGACUCGCUGUUCGACGAGCCGUCGGCCGACCCGUCACCGUCCGCGCGUGGUGCGCCACUC